rnacentral:rRNA from 1 species
UACGUAGGGGGCGAGCGUUGUCCGGAUUUAUUGGGCGUAAAGCGCUCGCAGGUGGUCCGAUGCGUCGUGCGUGAAAGACCCCGGCUCAACUGGGGGGCGUCGUGCGAUACAGUCGGACUGGAGGCCAGUAGGGGGAUGCGGAAUUCCGGGUGUAGUGGUGGAAUGCGUAGAGAUCCGGAGGAACACCAGCGGCGAAGGCGGCAUCCUGGACUGGUCCUGACACUCAGGAGCGAAAGCGUGGGGAGCGAUCCGG